GGGGACUUAGCUCAGUGGUAGAGCGCUUGCCUAGCGAGCGCAAGGUCCUGGGUUCGAUCCCCAGCUCCA
rnacentral:tRNA from 1 species